GUCUACGGCCAUGCCACCCUGAACAAGCCCGAUGGGUCAAGCCUGGUUAGUACUUGGAUAGAAGACCACCUAGGAAGACCAAGUGCUGUAGGCA
rnacentral:rRNA from 1 species